GACGAACGCUGGCGGCGUGCUUAACACAUGCAAGUCGAACGGAACGGCCCUGCCUUUGUGGGGUGCUCGAAUGGCGAACGGGUGAGUAACACGUGAGUAACCUGCCCUUGCCUUUGGGAUAACUUCAGGACACUUGGGCUAUUCCCGGCUAGGAGCUCCUGCUGCAUGGUGGGGGUUGGUAAGUUUCGGCGGUUGGGGAUGGACUCGCGGCUUAUCAGCUUGUUGGUGGGGUAGUGGCUUACCAAGGCUUUGACGGGUAGCCGGCCUGAGCGGGGGACCGGCCACGUUGGGACGGGGAUACGGCACAGACUACAACGGGAGGCAGCAGUGGGGAAGAUUGCACAAGGGGCGGAGGGAUGAUGCAGCAACGCCGCGUGGGGGAUGACGGCCAGCGGGUUGGAAAGCGCUGUCGCCUGUGACGAGGCGAGAGUGACGGUAAUGGGUAAAGAAGCACCGGCUAACUACGUG
rnacentral:rRNA from 1 species